UUCCUCUCAGGAUUGCACCUGGAGAGUUUCCAGUACUCUACCAAUCUCAGCUAUGGGAGGGAGAGUCAAGCAGAGGCAUUCCCAUUUCAUUCCUAACUUGGGCAGUGGCUAGUGAGUGUAAGGCAAUCUGCUACAAGU